rnacentral:lncRNA from 1 species
CUUCCCUGUCUUCAUGAAAUUUAUAUUCUUAUUUAUGUACUUGACAUAUAUCUUUCUGGCUUUUUUAUUUUUUGUAUUGGGGGUUGAACCCAGGGCCUUCACACAGAGUUAUAUCCCCACUUCUUUUUUUUUGGUACCGGGGAUCGAACUCGGGUCCUUGCGCUUGAGCAGCAGGUGGCAAAACCACUGAGCUGCCCAGCCCCCCAGUUCUUUUUAAAAAAAUAUUUUGAGAGGGUCCUGCUAAAUUGCCCAGGAUGGGCUUGAACUUGUAAUCCUCCUGCUAUAGCCUCCAAGAAUGUAGGGUUAUAGGUGUGUCCCACAACAGUGGGCUUUGGCUUUUUAUAUUUAUCAACAUUAGUGACUAUGUUUGAGAUCAACACAAGACAUCAAACAGUUGCUUUGAAUCCUCCUGUGACUUGGCUGGAACUUAUCUCUUCUGCUACUUGGAGUCUCCUGAGGAAAAAAAAAAAACCUGAAGCGGAAGUCAACAGAACAAAAAAUACAGCAGAAUCUUUAAUGUAAAAUUAUGUCAUCUUGACAUAAAAGCAAACCCUUACAUUUCUAGGAAUUGCCCUCAAGUUACAGGUUUCUCAUUUUUCUUAAUUGGUAAUAGGAGAAAGUAGCUGACCUGUGGUUUUUCACUCACCAAAAAAUUAUUUCUGUAAAGGCAAUAAUGUAAUCCUGAAUAUUAAAUAGAAAUCAGCAGAUGGAUUUUUAGAAGGGCAUUAAUGAAAAUAAUGCAUUUCCUGGACUACUUUACUCAGAUGUAAGCACUUCACCAUAUAUCAAAUUCCUUAUUCAGACUUAGAGACUCCUGUGGCAUCUGGUCCCUUCCUACUUCAAACUAGGUACCAUAUUCUCACCAGGGUUUAAUGUGUUUUCUUCUAUUCCACAAACAUGCCAAGUUUCUUUGGGCUUUGGGAGUCUUUGAUCUAUGCAUCAAAUAUCUUGGGCCCCACUUCAAAUCCCCUCCGCUUUGCCUUUUACUCCAGCUACUGCUGUUAGCCAUUAAUUUCAUGAAGUCUACUUAAGUUCUUGGAGAACAUGAUAGCACUUCCCUUUGGAUUCUUCCUACAUACCUUUUGCCUCAUUGAUAUGGACUACCUGCAGAACUUGGUACCCAAAUUUCACAUCAUAGAAGUACAGGGGAGCUAGGUACCCGCGGUGGGGAGCACCCUUGACCAAUAGAGGAAAGUUGCCGGUAGACCACUGCUUCCUCCUUUCAGCCCCAAGGCAGACAGUUCUGAAACACAUUUCAUAAGGUUCUUUAAAAGAUCCUGUGGAAUCAAUUACCAGUUAACCUUGGCUAAAUUGGUAACACAUCAUUAUACUGGGUUUCCUCUUUGGUUUUACUCCUGUGGAUCUCUUCUGCAUCCUAGAAUCUUUUCAGAUGACUUUUAGGCAAAGAUUUGUGUCGGGCGCUUGGAGAAUCCGGACUAAGAUUGUUUCUAAAAUGGCUCUGUCUCAACACAGGAGGUUGGAGCAGGUUCACUCAAAUGGCACAAACUCCCAUUUGUAGCAGGCAGAAUGAUGUCCCCACCCCCUAAAGAUAACCUUCUCUAGAAUCUGAAUGUUUCCUUACGUGACAAAAUGUGGUUAAGGUUAAAGACCUUGAGAUGGGGAGGUGAUCCUGGAUGGUCAGGGUAGGCCCAGCUUAAUCAUGUGUGUUUGUAUCUUUAAAAAUGACCUUACGUGGCUGUAGUCAAAGGAAGGUGUGACUACGGAAGAUUGAUGAUGGAGGAAGGGGACCAUGAAUUAAGGAAUGCACAGAACAAAACAAGGAAAAAGAAACCAGAAGAAGCCCAGAUAGGCUUUGAAGACCUGAGACCUAAGCAUGGUGGAUGAGCCAGGAAAUACUACAAAACAGGAUUCCCCUAAUGUGGGGCUUGCAGGGGCAGCUCAUUCUUCCUUGCCUAGAUACCUUGCCAAGGCUUCUAGUGAGACUGAUGCUGGCAAGAUGAUGCUUGGUCUCCUCCAGAACCUUUUCUGUUGCUUUCAUUGUUCUUCAAAGCAAGACCCAAAGUGAGAUCACAGCCCAAAUGGAAAAAUACAGCCCCUGUCUGUGUGGAAAUGGCAUAGACACUGAAGGAAUUGAAGAACCUGGCUAAUACAUACUAUCAGUGGAUCUUUAGAAGGUGUUGGGUUAGAGGUGGAGGUUGAGGGAAGAAUAUAUGGCAGAAUAAAGAACAGUUUAUUAUGAGAACGCUCACCUAUGGCUUGGAGUGGAGAACAUCUGAAGUGGGUCCUAGUAUACUGUUGGAUGGCUGUUAAGGCUUGGGCAUGGUUAUGGCAAACAGUAAAUGAGGUGGAGAUGGUAGAACUGCUUUGGUAUAGCACUGAGGAAAAGGUUCAGUGAUUCCAGGAGAAAUUAAUAUUAGAAUGGAUUCCUUAUAUGAGGCUGAGCAACCACCUAAAGGUGUUCUCUUGGUGGACAUUUCCUUUACUAAGGUAACCCAGAAUGCACCAGCACCCGUGAAAAGCUCAAUGGCAGUUGGCCAUUGUGAAUAGGGGUUGACAGUAGGAGAUGCUGCUCUGAAGCUGAGCCUGCUAUUAUAAGGGAAAUGAUGGGAUUCUAGAAUGGCACAGGAAAGGUGAACCCAAUAUAAUGGAUAAUAAGAUUGGAGUAGUACUCAGAGUGCCUUGAUCUGCCAGCCUUAUUGACAAUGGCUAAUAAUGGUAUUUUGAGAGACAACUGACUAUUGUGUUAUGUAACUUACAUAACCACGAAAGGGAUGGAGAGAAUAAAAGG